UCCCGGCAUUGACAAAUGCAAAAUAGUACGCAAAUCUCGUAUUUACAGCGUCAAAGUUUUAUAGUACCACCUGAUACUAAACGGUUGGAUUUUCGAUCCUUUAGUAUUGGUAGAUAGUAGGAAUUACUAGGUAGAUAGUGGAAAAUUACCCUACUAGCUUUCUUAUGCCACAAAUGUGAAGGUUAGAAUAUAGUGUCCUUGGUGAUAAUUGUAGGAACAACGCUACCCCACAAGUUUAUCAAAAUAGGUUUUUUUUUGUAUGUGCACAGCAAAAUCCAGCCAAAGAAAAUCAUACAGUAAUCAUUCUUCACACAAAUAAUAUUCUAAUCAUUAAGUCAAUUCAUUAUCAGAAAGUACUAAUAUGCAUUACAUCAAUAUUCAUAGUCAUUGAAACACUUGAAAUGAUGCAAAAUAUUGAAUAAUCCUAAAUAACCACUAUGGCCAAAUUGGGAACCACUAUAGUGAUAAUUGGUACACUCAGCCUUAAUAUUUUUACGCAGUAACCAUUCGAAGCAAUAAUAAAACCUGCAAAACCAGAAGUAUUUCAAAUCAUGUGGCGAAACUCUAACUCAUGUUGUUUGUGGUUUAUUGUUUUUCUGAAUUAUCACCAAGGAAGUAUUGCUCUUAUUUUUUGUACAUUUCACUUACACUUGUUUUAUUAAACCAAAUUCAAAACUUUAUCAGAGAUUUUUCGACCUAAUCAAUACAUUGAUGUCACUCCACCACUUAUUCUAUUGUGUCCACAAAAGCAUACCAUCAAGGAUAAAGAUAAGAAAUUUUGCCACCAUUCUUGACACACGUUGAUAACAUAUCAGCUGAUGUUUUCCUCGGAAUGAAAACACAAACAGCUGUGCAUCGAUAAGAACGAACACUCGGCAUAAGUAUACUUCUAGCCUAUUCACUACGUUUGAAGCGGAAGCAGCUUCUUCCAAUUUCCACUCAUGUGUGUACUAGGUAUUCGUCAAAACAAACGCUGACACACACUGGCUAUCUCACAAGACAACCCACUUGGUAUAGUGCCGAUUCGCGCAACAGCGGACUUCAGUUUGUCAACAAAAUCCUAAUCCCAAACGUGUGUCACCGCCACACUACCACCGCAUGCACCGCAUCAUCAUCGCAAAUGCGCGAUAAUUCCCAGUGACGCUAAUUAAAACUCAGCCACAGACGGGCGUUUGCUUCCUCUCCUGGUGGUGCUACUGCUAAACCGAACAACAAUUAGACUAGGGGUUCUCAAUUGUGGGGUGAAUUGAGUUGAUUGAUUCUGAAUCUUCUUGGACUAACUAUGGAUGCUUUGAUCAUCCCAAUUUGUGACUCUUUCUAAGACUUUCAAAAGUGUCACGAGUUAAGAACCACUGCACUAGACAAACCAUUUAAAGGCCAUAUCACGACGACGGUGAUUGUACCGCGGCGAAACUAACCGCACGACACGACGCGACCGACCACCAGGGCCGCCGCCAGUUUCAAGGUCAAGACCAGGGACACUCACCUGUCCGUAUGUUGGAAUUCCUCGGAUAGAUCGCCAGUCGUCCAAUGGUAAGGCUGCUCCGAACACUACGCAUUUCGAAUUAAUUUCUUGAGUAGUGCGCCUGAGGUUUUUCGAUUUUUUUUGUAUGUUUCCUUUCUUUUCACUGUUUCACUGUUUGGAUUUAAAUUGCCCAACUUUCAGUAGUAAUUUGUAUCACAAUUUCAA